rnacentral:tRNA from 1 species
CAUCAAGAAGCUUUUACAGCAUUAACCUUUUAAGUUAAAGAUAGAGAUUGACCUCCUUGGUGA